rnacentral:rRNA from 1 species
UUUCCGGUUGAUCCCGCCGGAGGCCACUGCUAUCGGGCUCCGACUAAGCCAUGCGAGUCUAGGGGCUCCUUCGGGAGCACCGGCGGACGGCUCAGUAACACGUGGACAACCUACCCUCGGGUGGGGGAUAACCUCGGGAAACUGAGGCUAAUACCCCAUAGGCCUCGGGUACUGGAAGGUCCCGAGGCUGAAAGCUCCGGCGCCCGAGGAUGGGUCUGCGGCCUAUCAGGUAGUUGGUGGUGUAAAGGACCACCAAGCCUACGACGGGUACGGGCCCUGAGAGGGGGAGCCCGGAGAUGGACUCUGAGACACGAGUCCAGGCCCUACGGGGCGCAGCAGGCGCGAAACCUUCGCAAUGCGCGAAAGCGCGACGAGGGGAGCCCGAUGCCCUUCCUUCGGGGAGGGCUUUUCUGGAGCCUAAAAAGCUNCAGGAAUAAGGGCUGGGCAAGACGGGUGCCAGCCG